rnacentral:rRNA from 1 species
GCGAACGCUGGCGGCAGGCCUAACACAUGCAAGUCGAACGAACUCUUCGGAGUUAGUGGCGGACGGGUGAGUAACACGUGGGAACGUGCCUUUAGGUUCGGAAUAACUCAGGGAAACUUGUGCUAAUACCGAAUGUGCCCUUCGGGGGAAAGAUUUAUCGCCUUUAGAGCGGCCCGCGUCUGAUUAGCUAGUUGGUGAGGUAAAGGCUCACCAAGGCGACGAUCAGUAGCUGGUCUGAGAGGAUGAUCAGCCACAUUGGGACUGAGACACGGCCCAAACUCCUACGGGAGGCAGCAGUGGGGAAUCUUGCGCAAUGGGCGAAAGCCUGACGCAGCCAUGCCGCGUGAAUGAUGAAGGUCUUAGGAUUGUAAAAUUCUUUCACCGGGGACGAUAAUGACGGUACCCGGAGAAGAAGCCCCGGCUAACUUCGCG